rnacentral:lncRNA from 1 species
GGAUCUUCGGUAAUAAAGUUUGGUAUUAUUUCAUAUCUUUCUCUAAUACUUUGUUCUAAUUGCAUUAUGUCUCUAUUUAUUAUGCUCCUAGUUUUCUCUAGUUCUAUAUUUGAUAUAGUUAUGAUUGAUAAUAUGUUUAUGUAUAAGUUUGCAAAGCGUUUAGCUCUUGACACGUGGGAGUUAAGUGGUAGAUCAUAUGUAGGCGUGGUGCUUAGAUAUUAUUUAACUGCAAAUGUA